GCGGUUGUGGCGGAACGGCAGACGCGCUAGCCUCAGGAGCUAGUGUCCUUUAGGACGUGUGGGUUCAAAUCCCAUCAACCGCACCA
rnacentral:tRNA from 2 species